AUACUUACUUGGCAGAGGAGAUACCAUGAAAAACGUAGGUCGUUUUUUCAGGGUGAGGCCCAACCAUUGCACUUGGGGUGCGUUGACCCCUGCUAUUUCCCCAAAUGCAGGAAACUCGACUGCAUAAUUUUUGUUAGUGGGGGACUGUGUUCGCGCUCUACCCUG